UCCCGCCUGCCCUGUGACUACAAGUUCAACGGCCGCGGUAUUUUGACCGUGCAAAGGUAGCGCAAUCACUUGUCUUUUAAAUGAAGACCCGUAUGAAUGGCAUGACGAGGGCUUAACUGUCUCCUUUUUCCAGUCAAUGAAAUUGAUCUUCCCGUGCAGAAGCGGGAAUUUACCCAUAAGACGAGAAGACCCUAUGGAGCUUUAGACACCAGAACAGACUAUGUUAAACACCCCUGCAUAAAGGAUAAAACUAAUUAGCCCCUGUCCAAUGUCUUUGGUUGGGGCGACCACGGGGAAACAAGAAACCCCCACAUGGACUAAGAGCACACCACUCUUACAACCCCGAGCUACGACUCAAAGUACCAGAACUUCUGACCAACAAGAUCCGGCACAGCCGAUCAAUGGACCAAGUUACCCUAGGGAUAACAGCGCAAUCCUCUUUUAGAGCCCAUAUCGACAAGAGGGUUUACGACCUCGAUGUUGGAUCAGGACAUCCUAA
rnacentral:rRNA from 1 species